rnacentral:rRNA from 1 species
AAGACAGAGGGUGCAAACGUUGUUCGGAUUUACUGGGCGUAAAGCGCGUGUAGGCGGCUUGGCAAGUCGGAUGUGAAAGCCCACGGCUCAACCGUGGAAGCGCAUCCGAAACUGCUUCGCUCGAGUCUCGGAGAGGAAGGUGGAAUGCUUGGUGUAGAGGUGAAAUUCGUAGAUAUCAAGCAGAACACCUGCGGCGAAGGCGGCCUUCUGGACGAUGACUGACGCUGAGACGCGAAAGCGUGGGGAGCAAACAG